AACGGUCUAUACCUGCGGUACCUGCGGAAGGAUCAUUACAAGGACACACUGUCUCCUUCAUACCCUUUGGUACCAGCUUGCCUGGUCCAAUGUUUGUCUAACCUUAAUCCUAGAUUUUUGACCACUAUGUUAUUAUUCUGACAGAAUGCUUUUGAGGAAUAUUGAAAAAAACUUUUAGCAAUGGAUCUCU
rnacentral:misc_RNA from 1 species